GAGAGCACUGCUCUGCCGUGGUCCGCUGUGCUCCACGGGCCCUGCUGGAGUUAACAGAGUUACAAGCUGCUGUGGAGGAUUAGUGGGUCAUGGUGCAAUCAGUUUUGGUCUCUGUAGUACACAGCGCCGUAGCUCCGCAAACGCACAUAACGCACACUGCGUAGGGCACCAAAUGGCCGGUAGGGCACCAAAAAAAUCAGGGUCGUAAAAAAAAAAAAAGUAAACCAUAUUAAUACUAUAAAUAUCAUAUGCAUUAAUAUGGUUAAACAAUACAAAAGCAACAUAAAACAAUUUUCCCGAGAAAAGGGGUGAAUCUGCUUUGUGCCCUGUCUCCAGUCUCCUCCUGGUGCCCCCCCCCCACUCCCAGUGGUCUGUUCUAUAAUGCCUCAAUUCGGUAUUGGUAAACACCUGUUUGAACAUGGCCUCGAAACGGCAACAGGAGUCGGGAGCGGAGAAAAGAAAGAAGAAGAGGAAGCGUGAUGAAACUCAGGCGUCGCUUGCCGGGUCAAUGCUUAAAUAUGUUCAAGGAGGAUCUCAAGGACAGGAUGAACCAUCCAGUAGUAGUGCCAUCCCUGGACAUCAACCACCAGCCAUUGUAGACCCUGCAACAAUCCCUAGCCAAGAAGAACAAGAACCAUCAACCACCAGUUCAGGUA